UGGCACUCCAGAUGUUUUGGACUACACCUCCCAUGAUGUUUUGCUAAUAUUCGGGGGUAAGAGCAUUAUGGGGGAUGAAGUCUAAAACAUCUGGAGUGCCA